rnacentral:rRNA from 1 species
GACGAACGCUGGCGGCGUGCUUAACACAUGCAAGUCGAACGGAAAGGCCCUGCUUUUGUGGGGUGCUCGAGUGGCGAACGGGUGAGUAACACGUGAGUAACCUGCCCUUGACUUUGGGAUAACUUCAGGAAACUGGGGCUAAUACUGGAUAGGAGCUCCUGCUGCAUGGUGGGGGUCGGAAAGUUUCGGCGGUUGGGGAUGGACUCGCGGCUUAUCAGCUUGUUGGUGGGGUAGUGGCUUACCAAGGCUUUGACGGGUAGCCGGCCUGAGAGGGUGACCGGCCACAUUGGGACUGAGAUACGGCCCAGACUCCUACGGGAGGCAGCAGUGGGGAAUAUUGCACAAUGGGCGGAAGCCUGAUGCAGCAACGCCGCGUGCGGGAUGACGGCCUUCGGGUUGUAAACCGCUUUCGCCUGUGACGAAGCGUGAGUGACGGUAAUGGGUAAAGAAGCACCGGCUAACUACGUG